CAUCUUAGGGAAAUCUCUCUGACUCCCAUAUACCUCACCUAUAAAAUCUAGGGAGAAGCAUUUAAAAGGUAUUGAAGAGAUGAUCUCUAAAGUCUCUUCCUCCUCUAUUACAGUAGAAAGAGCUGGAGCCAUGAGAUGGGAGGACCAGAGAUUUACAGUCUGAAGGACCUUCAGGAGCCAUCCAGUUCCACCUCUCCAUUUUGAGGCAGUUUGUCCAGUGGUUAGAGCACUGGGCUUGGAACAUUCAUGAGUUUUGAUCUGAUCUCAGACACUUUCUAGCUCUGAGACCCUGGCCAGUUGCUUCACCCUGUUAGUCUCAGUUUCUGAUCUGUAAAAUGAGCUGGAGAAGGAAAUGGCAAACCACUCCAGCAUCUUUGCCAAGAAAACAAAUGGGGCUACAGAAUUGAAAAAUGACUCAACAAUAAUACUGGUAGCAAAAGAGAAUUGGACCUAGAGUUAGUAGUCUUAGUCUCCAACUAGCUAUAUGACCUUGGACAAGUCAUUUAACCUGUAUGCCUCAGUUUCCUGUCUGUGAUCAUAAGGGCAUCUACCAUCUCACUAAGAUUAUGAGGAUCAAAUGAGAUAAUAUUUGUGUGUGAAGUGGAAGUUUAAAGGGACCUUGAAAUAUCAAGACGUACCCUCUUUAGCUCCUUUCCAAAAUUAAAACAGGGAGAACCAUCAAUUAAAAUGCAAUGCUUUAUUGGGAGAGAAAGAAAUGUGGGACACUGACUCAAGUCAUUGACCCUAAGACAAAUGCCCCAAAAUGUACAGAAAAAUCCCUUAUUUAUAGGAAAAUCCUUUUACAAGGGUUGGAGGCAGGUUUUAAUCCAGAAAUAAAGGAUAGGAAUAUUAUACAAAGAGAAGAGGAGUUCAGGGCUGGAUUACCUGAGAGAGGCUGAUGUUUUGCAAUGGAUACAAGAGGAUCAUUCCAGUCAUGGGGCUUGACAACCUGGGAGAAACUUCUAAAACAAGAGGGUUAUAUCUAACUGAUUCCACCUGAGCUGAGAUCAUCAGUACUUUAAGGUGCAUUAUUUAGUCUGAGACAAGGUCAGUCUGGGACUUCCCAAUAGGGGCAAAUUUAGGGGUUCUAAAAACAGAGUUGACACUAAUAAGAGGCCAAGUCAGGAUUAAAAUUCAGAUCUUCUCAUUCCAAAUCUGGGCUCCUUUCCCUUAUACUGCUGUGCCUAUAAGUCAAAGGAUCUGGGUUCCAAUCAUGCUUUAGUUGCUUAUUACCUAUAUGAGAAAGGUCAGGUCCUUUCUCUCUAAACAAUUGUUUCCCUAUCAGGGAAAGAGAUUUAACUCCAUGACAUCUAAGAUUCCUAAAUUUAGAAUUGGAAGGGAUCUUAAAAGUACAACCUCUUUGUUUUCUAAAUGAGGAAGUUGAGACACCCAACUUCAGAGAUGUUCACUGAUUUGAUGUGAUACUGUGAAAUCUAUAAAGUAGGGGUGGCUUUUAGCCCAUUAUCAAAGUAGAUGAGCUUGUCCCCUCAGAAGACCAACCAUCUGAUUAAAUACUACAUCAGUUAGAUUAAAGCAAAAUCCAAACAAUAUUAAUAAGGAUUAUUUGAAUGACAAGAAUUUUUUUUUCCUGAAGGGGCAAUAGCUUCUCUGGCACUAAUGGCAGGAUUUUGCUCUCUCUGGUUCUCCUAUUUUCUCCCCUUUUCUCUCUCCUGGAAUCUGAGCCCUUCAGGGAAAUGGUGGCUAUCCUAAGGAAAGGGAUAGGUCACCGCCAUUUUCCAGGUGGGCAUCAGCUCGCAUUUAAACUCCUUUCUUUUCUCUCUCGAAGCUAAAGAUGCCCUGGAAUUGUGGCAAUAGCAAUACCUAACCACUCCUGGACAAUGGAACACCACAGAUGGCAGCCCAACUUCAGGCUGGAGAUUGCCAGCUGCCUAGAGUAGGCACAAGAUCUCACCUAGAAGAAUCUUGAGAGAGGCAACCCAGGCUGGCUCAGAGCAGUCAUGCCUUUCCUCUCCUGGAUGAAGGCACGCUGGAGGACCUCAAAGGUGGCUCUUUGCAGAUAUUCAAAGUCAGGAAGCUGGCAGCCGGGGGACUCCUGGGCACCAGCCUUACUCCCUCUUACCCUGCUGAAGACUGGAUCCACACACACCUGCACCCCCUGAUAGCCUUCCCAAGGGGCUGCCGAUUUCACAAAUCCUCUUUAAGUAGGAAAUGUGUAUUUCCAUGAGUUUUCUUUCUGUCAGCAAGUAGAAAUGGAAUUCUCAGACUCCAGGGGGCUCUCAGUAAGACCCUAAGAGGAUCCCUUCCAAAGAUGAGCCAUUGGCUUUCUUUGGAAGAGGAAGCCAAAGCUGUACUUGGGAUUGGGAGGGGUGGGAGUUGGGGCAGCACCUUCAUUCUGAGAAUGAGUGACUUCAUUUCAGGGGUCCAUCGUUUCUACACUGUUCCAGUGUGGGUUAUGGUUUGAGAUGUUAUUAUGAUAACAACCAAUCGUUGUAAGAGAAAUUCUCUGUGAUGUUUCCUCCCAUUGGGGAGAGGAAAGUGUUGCCUUUCAUAAAGGGAAUCAAUCUCUCUGGUGUACCUGCCAUGAAGGGACAGGUGGGCGGUGCUGGCUUUCAGAUGUUUGACAAAAAGGUGAAAAUGUUUUGAUAAAGUUUCCUUGUGAGGUCACAUUUUGGAAUGCUGGGAAGGGUUUGGACAAUAGCAAUAAAAGUGAUUCAGAGA